GGGACAUGCAACAAAAAGGGUGAGCAUAUAAAAUAUUUAUUAUAAUAAUAAAUAUUUUAUAUGCUCACCCUUUUUGUUGCAUGUCCCACUCCUAA